rnacentral:lncRNA from 10 species
CUGCAAACAAGCUUCCAGGUGUUUGCUAACGUUGAGGUGUGCAGUCUUGGUCAAUCAUCAAUCCAGUAACACACUGCCCAGUUAAAGCACUGCUGAGCAGAACAGGAAGCAAAAAGCGUGUCCACAGGCUGCAUUUAGAGCGGCCCUGGCCUGGGUGAGGCAGCUUGCCUCUUAGAAGGAGGAGAGGCAGAGCUCAGUAGGAAACCCCAAGGACCUUCAAGCAGUAAGAGCUGAGACCUGGAAGGUUCUUCCACACUGAGAAGUCAAGACCUCUUCCGUAAGGCACCCUUCUCCAUGGAAGCCUGGGGAGCCAGGGACUCGAUCACCUGUGACUCACCGUUUCUGUGUUGCCUACACAGCACACACGUCAAGAUCUAAAAUGGCCUCUGCACCCUGUUGCCCUCACCCAUCCUGGCCCCCACUCUGGGAAUGUGUGCAGCUCCACCUUCAGCAUGAAAGUCGGGAAUCUGCGGCUCCUCCCUCCCCUGAAAAACAGAGCAUGACCCAAAGAAUAGAGCUUUCCAUUCUCUACCCUUGCCAGUGUCGUAAUGCUCCUGUUCUCCCAUAAGCCACUCUCUCCUGCACUUGUGUUGCUACAGGAUCAGAACCUAAUCCUAAUUAGAACCUAGUUUUAUUUAUUUUAUUGUUAUUAUUAAUUAUUAUUUUUUGAGACACCCGAGUCUCACUCUGUUGCCCAGGCUGGAGUGCAGUGGUGUGAGCUCACUGCAACCUCUGCCUCCCAGGCUCAAGUGAGCUCCCCACCUCAGCCUCCCGAGUAGCUGGGAUUACAGGUGCAUGCCACCAUUCCUGGCUAAUUUUUGUAUUUUUUUUUUAAUAGAGAUGGUGUUUCGCCCUGUUGUCCAGGCUGGUCUCAAACUUUCUGGCCUCAAGUGAUCCACCUGCCUCAGUCUCCCCAAGUGCUGGAAUUACAGGUAUGAGCCACUGCACCUGGCCUAGAAUCUAGUUUGAUGUAGAAAAUUCAAAUUCAAAUUGUGCAUUCUUCACCAAGUGUGCUAAACUUGCAUCUGGGUGUGGGGCUGUGGUUACGGAUAUAGAAAACUUCAUUUAAUGAGAAUGAUAUUGACAUUUACACGACAACAACAACAAUACUGCAAUUUAUUGACUAUUUUCUAUGGCAAACACUGCAGAGUAUUUCUCAAAUGUUAUCACGCUCAUGCCCCCACCAAGUCUAUUGUUACCGCCCCCAUUUUAUAGAUGAGGAAGAGAUCAUAAGUAGUCGAGUAACCUGCUCAGGCUACACAGCUAUUAAGAGCUGGAGCUGGGAUUUGAACCUGGGCAAUUGUAACUUCAAAGUUGGUGUUUCUCCCUCCCUAAGCAUCGCCCCACCCCAUCUACCAUUUGUGCUGUGAUCUUCGCUGUCAUGGUGUCCCAUGUCUUUCACUGUUCCAGUUCAAGAAGCUUCUCCCCAUCGCCUCCUAUCCACUACAUCCUGACUUGCUAAUGACUCUUCUUGUCAGUACCAAGGGGAUGGUAAGGAGGAAGAGGGGGCUUGUGUCAAAGUGAGGUGCUCUCUAAGUUAAAAAAUUGGCUUUGGAGGCCUUGGGGGGAGGGAUGAAUGAACAUUUUAUCAACACAAAUGUCAUUGGCAAGCCCCAAAACAAACAGUGUCCCACCGGGCUUGCUCCUUUAUGAGGCAUUCAAUCAAUAAAAAGAGAGCAGAACUCUGUCAGAUUUAUUGGCUGGGUUCAAACCGAACACCUCUUCUACCCGCCAAAGGCUGGGUCACCAGCACUACCUCUCCUUUCCGACUCUGGACAGCCCUCAUUUUCCCCUAUGGGGCUACAAUGGUUCAUUGUUUGAGGCAGGCCUUGUGAGAAGUUGUGUUUGUUUUGCCUCUUAUCUUAUCAGCUCCAGAGCGACAAUGGCCCAGGUGUACUCACCAUUUUACCAUCAGGUGAGAGGAGAUUGUGGCCUGGGUCCAGGCUGGCUGGGGAGACUUGCUGUAAAACCGACUGGCUGGUCACCAUGGCGCUGUUGCCAUGGUGACUGAUUGUUGAGGAGGAAGUGAUCUCAUUGUUUCCCUGCUGGCUGUAGCGCACUCCUGCAAAACAACACAAACCCAGUAGGGAACAUUAGUGCCACCAGGGUCCUGGAACAAUGACUCGGCACCUCUUGUUUUCAAGGGUGGGUAAUAAGAAAAUAAAGUUGCUUUCUCCUCCCCUGUCCACCCACAAGAAAUAUCGGCUGCUUUUCUCCAGGGUAAAUAUGGCAUGUUCUCUAUUUAAUUCUAGAAUGUAAGCGCCACGAGGGCAGGAAAUUUUUAUCUCGUUUGUUUUGUUCACUGAUGUAUCCCCAGUGCCUUGGCACUGAAUAGCCACUCGGUAAACUUCUGAUGAAUAAAUGAAUGACUGGAUGGAUUCUGUUUGUUAUUGCUUCCGCACAGUUCUUUGAGGAUUUGGGGGUUGAGACUAGCCUUCUGUUACUGGCUGGAGUAUUUUUUAUUCUUUAAAAUGCCUUUUAGAAAUGUUUCCCUGGCAUCCCUCGUGGUGCUGCAAAGUAUAAGUAGACCCAUGUGACGAAGAAGAAGC